rnacentral:rRNA from 1 species
UGCAGUCGAGCGGACAGAUGGGAGCUUGCUCCCUGAUGUUAGCGGCGGACGGGUGAGUAACACGUGGGUAACCUGCCUGUAAGACUGGGAUAACUCCGGGAAACCGGGGCUAAUACCGGAUGGUUGUCUGAACCGCAUGGUUCAGACAUAAAAGGUGGCUUCGGCUACCACUUACAGAUGGACCCGCGGCGCAUUAGCUAGUUGGUGAGGUAACGGCUCACCAAGGCGACGAUGCGUAGCCGACCUGAGAGGGUGAUCGGCCACACUGGGACUGAGACACGGCCCAGACUCCUACGGGAGGCAGCAGUAGGGAAUCUUCCGCAAUGGACGAAAGUCUGACGGAGCAACGCCGCGUGAGUGAUGAAGGUUUUCGGAUCGUAAAGCUCUGUUGUUAGGGAAGAACAAGUGCCGUUCAAAUAGGGCGGCACCUUGACGGUACCUAACCAGAAAGCCACGGCUAACUACGUGCCAGCAGCCGCGGUAAUACGUAGGUGGCAAGCGUUGUCCGGAAUUAUUGGGCGUAAAGGGCUCGCAGGCGGUUUCUUAAGUCUGAUGUGAAAGCCCCCGGCUCAACCGGGGAGGGUCAUUGGAAACUGGGGAACUUGAGUGCAGAAGAGGAGAGUGGAAUUCCACGUGUAGCGGUGAAAUGCGUAGAGAUGUGGAGGAACACCAGUGGCGAAGGCGACUCUCUGGUCUGUAACUGACGCUGAGGAGCGAAAGCGUGGGGAGCGAACAGGAUUAGAUACCCUGGUAGUCCACGCCGUAAACGAUGAGUGCUAAGUGUUAGGGGGUUUCCGCCCCUUAGUGCUGCAGCUAACGCAUUAAGCACUCCGCCUGGGGAGUACGGUCGCAAGACUG